CCUGGUAGUCUCGGAGUAGUAGACGUUUCCAGUCGGACAUCAGCAGCCGCGAGCUAAGCACGUUGUCACAAAUUUUACCUGUUUCGCUUUUAUUGUUCGAGCUUUGCUUCGGCACUUGCCCAGUCGGUUGUCCCUCAGUUGGCGAACUCGGUUGACAUAAACAGGCGACUCAUGAUUUCCGUGAGGCUGCUGAGAGAAAAGUGAGUUGAUGCCCGAUAAAAAAUAAGAUUGUGGUGGGGGAUCGAGACACCAGAUACUGCCCAGCAAACGCCAACAACUUUAUGUCAACAAGACAGAUGCGAUAGUUAUUCAGUUUAUGGACGAGAUCUACAAGAGCUUUUUUGCACAUGGCGUCGUUAAAUUGAAACCAACAGUAUUGAACUAUUUACUGCUGGAUAGUAAAUUUCUCUAUUGUAAAAUUGAUACAAACUGGAAAAUGAGGAAAUUCAAAGUCAAUUACCUGAAGAAGAUCCGGAAGUUGUGACACCUGGUGACUGAUGACUAAUGUGCGACUUCCUGUACGUAUACUGAAUGUAUCCUGAGUGUAUUCCUGUCCGGUAUACCUUCAGUAUACGUAACAGGAGGCUGCACUGAUCUCCGAUGGAUUCUGCUGCUAUUCGUUCUUUUUAUUUGUUGAGGCAUGCUAUUUAUCUUAAAUAAUUUAUAUUUGUGUAAUAUGACUUUUUAUGCACUGAAAAAAGUUUUUACUCGAUGACAGAAAAUUUUUUCUGAAAUCAACAAAUUUUUUCUUUAAUCAAAAAAAUUUUUCUUGGUUCAAGAAAAUUUUUACUCAUCUCAAGAAAAUUAUUUCAUGAAUCAACAAUUUUUUUCUUGAAUCAACAAAUUUUUCUUUUAAUUAAAAAACUUUUUCUUGGUUCAAGAAAUUUUUUCAUGACUCAAGAAAAUUUUUUCUCAAACUAAACAAUUAUUUGUUGAUUCAAGAACAUUUUUACUCGCCUCAAAAAUAUUUUUUCUUGAAUCAAAAAAUUUUUUCUUUAAUCAA